ensembl:lncRNA
CUCAGGGCUCGGAGGGGUGCUUUUGGCUUUUGGAAGGUUUUUCCUCUUUUAUCCAUCCUCUGGUCCUUUUUGUCCUGCUCCCAGGGCUGGAUUACCUGGUAUCUGAAAGCAAAAAUACAACUGACUUAAAGGUUAUCCAUUGCAUGCUGUGCGUGUACGUGCAGAAGGAUUGAUGUAAAAAGGAAAAGGGAGGAAAAAUGAAGGGCUUGCAUUUCCAAGCAUUUCUGAAGGAUCCAAACAAGGAUGCCCAGCAGCACAUGGCGUUGGUGCCCAGGACCACAAGCCUAUUUGCUCCCCAGCUGAUUUUGGGCUCCUUGGCCAGCACUGCCCAUGGCUCUGCAGGGAAUCUGUGUGGCAUCUGCCCCUGCAAUCUGAUCCCUGCGCUCUGUGAAGCAUCACUAACACGGCCAAAUGUCCCACCUGGAAAGGGGCAUGGAGAGGAUAAAGCUGAUUUCCUCCCCUGGCGGCAGCAGCGGAUGCAGAGAACAAUAGGUACGGUGCCUGCUCAGGGGACAACUCCUGCUCCCCUGUGCCGUGCCCAGCCCUCAGCUGGGGAUGGAGGGACCCACCCGAGGGGAAAGCCAGCUCCAGAGGAGUGGUUUGGAAAGGAACAUUGCAAAAAUUCAUGGAAAGCUGUGAUUGAGCGAAGAAUGAGGUCGCGCAGCUGUUCCAGGAAAGGUGCAGCAAGAUAUGUGUUUACUGCAGAAAUUCUAUGGAAUGGGUAAAAAUAAAAGAAUCUCACCUCUGGGAAGGUGCAGGAGGUCAGAAGAACCUGAGAGCAAGCAGUCACAGAGCUGUGACCUGUCCCAGGAGCCCCUUUUUGGUGCCUGGUCACUGAUGUGAGGCUGCUUAUUGCAAAACCUGCAGCAGGACGUAUCCAGUUAUCACUGUCUCUGGGUAAUGUAGAUAAAACGUUUGCUUUUUUAUUUUUACCUCAGUAAGUCCUUAAUCCUCCCAACGUGGGCUGACUGCAUCUGGUUGCUCGUCAGCAUCCACCCUGGGCCACCACAGCCUCAGGAUCUAUUUGGGAUUCCACACCUCCCCAAAAGCUGUUCUCCAGUUUGGCUGGUGCAGUUAUCCAUCCCAAAUGCGGCUCUUUACUUCUCCAGGUUUGGUCUAGCUCCUUCCAAAUGAUCACUGUGAAUUUAUUCAGAUCGUUGCUAGUCGUCUGCCUUCCAGACGCCUUGCAGCCCUCCCAGCCCAGAGUUAUUGUAAUGCACUCUUCAGUCGAUCAUCUGCGCUGCUAACGCAAAUUGUGUAUGCCUGGGCACCAGACCCCUUGCAGUCUGGCAGAGAGUAUCCAGAGCCAUAUACUGAGCAUGAGAUGUCUCCUGUGCGUUGUGUACCCACUGCAUGGCCUUCGCCUGCCUCUUGAGGGUGACCAGGAGAUGUGGGAUGAGCAGUCUCUGAGCUCUGGGGAUGCAGCACAUCCUUUCCAUGCAGUGUCAGAGGUUAGCCAUGUUUAGCUAUUUAUUGCUUGGCAGUGAGUAGGAAGGAGGGAGAAAGCAUAAGGGACAGGCGUAUGUUCUCAGAUGCUCCAUAACGAUGUCAUCCGAGGAUGAUUUACAUCGGAGCUGGGACAUAUGGUGUGCUUUAUCACCAGGAUGCGUGCUGCCACCUGAUUACAUGCCCACAUUUCUUCUUCUUGGCUUUACACCUCGCUCAUUCCCUGCGGAGGCACUGGGUAUGGGUCCUCAAAGUGGAGCAAUACUGUCCUUGGGUUGUGGGAUGUCUGAAAGGGGGUUCCCUGCAGACAUCUCCUGGCCUUGGUCUGCACUCAUCUUGGCCUCUGGGAGCUUGCUGGGGAGCCAGUGCACCUCUUAGCUCCCAGGUGCUAAAAUCCAUCAGGAUUGGCUCCUGGGAAGGGAAAAAGCCAAGGUUGAGGGUAACUGGGGAAAACUGAUGGCAUUAAACUUGUCAUCAUGUUUACUGUUGGCUAGAAAUGAUUGACGUUUUUCUACAUUGUUCCUACACAUUUGCCUAACUUGUUCUUAAGUGUUUCCAGUGCUGCACUCCUUUACUUCCCAGGCUAAUUCAUACCUGUCCUUAAUUAAUCCUGUCAUUAGGGAGGUCUCCUCAAGUGUCACACGCAUGUGCUGCGCUUUGAUCCACCAUAUCACAUCCUACCCAUCAUAGACAAGGAGAACCAUCCACUCCUUUCCCUGAAGGGACAUUCUGCCUCUGAGGACUGUUGGAAAGGCUCCCCUCUCUUUCUUUUUGCCCGUUUCCUUCAGUUCUUCAUCAUUGGGUUCUGUUUUCAUCAUCUUUCCUUCAACCUAUGGUGCUCUGCCCACUUUGGAUCCUCCCAUGGCACUCCAGCUGAGAUUUCAACAGGGGUGAGCCAUGCCAAAGGGCAACUCAGUGUGCUUCACAACCAACCACUGUGUUAACUCAUCCCAUCUAACAGGAAAGAAAACACUGCUGGCUUUCAUGGCCCUGUUGUAUUGGUGAAGAUGGAUAUGAUGGUGCAGAAGGCCACAGGAUACUGCAGCAUUGGUCAUGCUCUCCUUCCAGGUUGGGAAAACGAUUUUCCAUAGUGGAAAAAGCAUCUUUCACAAUCCAGAUCACUUGCAGGAGGGAAUCUGAUUUUGUUGAUAUUUUCAGGCCGACUUGGGUUUUAGCUUGCCUUGUUUUGCAAGGAUGAGAACAUUUUGUGCUGAUGAAAUCGUUCGGCUUAAUUGCACACUAAAAGCAUGUUGAUGUUUAUAUUAUGUGAGUAUUAAUUUUAAUCUCCAAUAUUAAUCAGUAGCAAUGUAAACAAUGUAUUGAGUAUUAUCCUUGCCAGGCUCUAUUUGUAUGUAAUUCAACAUUUACAACAGGUGUUUAAUAUUUUAUAUUGUGUGGCAAUAUUUCUCUGUCAUUGUUCAUCAGGGACAGGAAAAGAAAUAAAGGGUCUGAAGUGCAGUGAAGGAGUUUUCCUUAUGGGAAGGGCAGUGAAACUCCUUUUUUUUUUUUCCCAACUUUCCACUUGGGGAAGGGAAAUUCCAGAAGUGGAACCCUGUGGGAGGAAUUGCUGAUAAAACAGCCCUGGAAACUCUAGAGUUGAUUACCUCAAAGGAAAGGUUUUCUGUAUUUUGCAGAAAAUGAAGAAGAUUAAAGGCAAAACCUAGACUGGCCAAAUUUUGCUUUGAUGGGGAUGUUGAUUUGGUUAAGUAGCUGCCCAGAAAUCAUGAUUCAACACGUCUUGCUCCCCUUCACCUAAAUUUUAACUGUUACCUCCCUGGCUGGACUGAAGGCCACACGUUCAGAGCUGGUUGAUGGCAUGUGUCUGAGAAUCAAGACACAUAAAAAUCCUCUGCGUGAUAAAUUUAUCAUAGAAUCCUAGACUCCUAGAAUGGCCUGAGUUGCAAAGGACCACAAUGCUCAUCUGGUUCC